ACUGAGCGGUGGGGGUUUAGUCUGGGUCGUUUUGUGUGGCUGGGAGUGGCAGCAGAUGCAGCUGAGUCUAGAUCAUAGGCAGCUGUGCAAGACACUUAAUGGGGCUCAUACCUGUGGGCUGUUCAUUGCUGGAGCUGAUGUAUGCAUUAAAUCCAUUCUCCUCUGCUAGAAGUGCUGGUCAUCCAUGAGAGGUGCCUAGCAUAGGAAGAUAGAAACGCACGAGGUGCAGCAGAACAGCUUAGUUUCCUGCUUACGCUCUGCUUUUGGUAGUCCUGUAGGCUUGCAUUUCCCAAAAUGUGUCCACAGAUGUAUCCUGGUAUCCAGAGGGAGCUGAUAUCCAUAGAAGCCCUUCACAGGACUGAAUUUUGCAUCCUGUGAGAAAGGCUCAGUGUGUACACAGGGUCUGCUGGGAGAGCUUUUGGAGAUUUUUCAUCUGAGACUUCAAGAUUUUCUUAUACAUCCACCUCUUCACCCCUAGCAGCAGAUAUUUCCUCUGUGACUUGUUCAUCAACCUCAUCUGAGCCACCAAAAGGUUUCUAUGUUGUGUGUGUUGCCUUCCCGUACACGCAUGGGGAAAUAAGCCAAAUAAUACCAGUAUUUUUAGCUA